rnacentral:rRNA from 1 species
CGACAGGGGCGGCGUGCUAUACAUGCAAGUCGAGCGGACAGAAGGGAGCUUGCUCCCGGAUGUUAGCGGCGGACGGGUGAGUAACACGUGGGUAACCUGCCUGUAAGACUGGGAUAACUCCGGGAAACCGGAGCUAAUACCGGAUAGUUCCUUGAACCGCAUGGUUCAAGGAUGAAAGACGGUUUCGGCUGUCACUUACAGAUGGACCCGCGGCGCAUUAGCUAGUUGGUGAGGUAACGGCUCACCAAGGCGACGAUGCGUAGCCGACCUGAGAGGGUGAUCGGCCACACUGGGACUGAGACACGGCCCAGACUCCUACGGGAGGCAGCAGUAGGGAAUCUUCCGCAAUGGACGAAAGUCUGACGGAGCAACGCCGCGUGAGUGAUGAAGGUUUUCGGAUCGUAAAGCUCUGUUGUUAGGGAAGAACAAGUGCAAGAGUAACUGCUUGCACCUUGACGGUACCUAACCAGAAAGCCACGGCUAACUACGUGCCAGCAGCCGCGGUAAUACGUAGGUGGCAAGCGUUGUCCGGAAUUAUUGGGCGUAAAGGGCUCGCAGGCGGUUUCUUAAGUCUGAUGUGAAAGCCCCCGGCUCAACCGGGGAGGGUCAUUGGAAACUGGGAAACUUGAGUGCAGAAGAGGAGAGUGGAAUUCCACGUGUAGCGGUGAAAUGCGUAGAGAUGUGGAGGAACACCAGUGGCGAAGGCGACUCUCUGGUCUGUAACUGACGCUGAGGAGCGAAAGCGUGGGG